rnacentral:rRNA from 1 species
UGGGGAAUUUUGGACAAUGGGCGAAAGCCUGAUCCAGCAAUGCCGCGUGUGUGAAGAAGGCCUUCGGGUUGUAAAGCACUUUUGUCCGGAAAGAAAUCCUUGGCUCUAAUACAGUCGGGGGAUGACGGUACCGGAAGAAUAAGCACCGGCUAACUACGUGCCAGCAGCCGCGGUAAUACGUAGGGUGCAAGCGUAAUCGGAAUUACUGGGCGUAAAGCGUGCGCAGGCGGUUUGCUAAGACCGAUGUGAAAUCCCCGGGCUCAACCUGGGAACUGCAUUGGUGACUGGCAGGCUAGAGUAUGGCAGAGGGGGGUAGAAUUCCACGUGUAGCAGUGAAAUGCGUAGAGAUGUGGAGGAAUACCGAUGGCGAAGGCAGCCCCCUGGGCCAAAUACUGACGCUCAUGCACGAAAGCGUGGGGAGCAAAACAGGAUUAGAUACCCUGGUAGUCCACGCCCUAAAACGAUGUCAACUAGUUGUUGGGAUUCAUUUCCUUAGUAACGUAGCUAAACGCGUGAAGUUGACCGCCUGGGGAGUACGGUCGCAAGAUUAAAACUUAAAGGAAUUGACGGGGUCAUAGCUGUUUCCU